rnacentral:rRNA from 1 species
CCCUUUGUACACACCGCCCGUCGCUGCCCGGAACUGAGCCGUAUCGAGAAGAUUGGGGAGAGUUGGUAUUUAUAUCAGUUCAAACCAAUUUAAUCGCUAUAGUUUGAACCGGGCAAAAGUCGUAACAAGGUUUUCGUAGGUGAACCUGCGAAAGGAUCAUUAAG